ensembl:lncRNA
GGAGACGACUUCUUCUCUGGUGCUGGCGUAGACAGCUGGGCGAUAAGCGUGCUGAGGCGGGUCUGGGGGGUCUGGCCCGACUCGACUCGAGAGCUGCGCAUCCAUCUGAAGUGUAGGGCGUCAUGCUCUUCAACCCGAGGACGUACGUUCCACCCGUCCGUGUCCACGACCAUCGUGAGACGCGAUAAAUGAUGAAAGGGAGCACAAACCAACGUGGAUGUUCCUUGGAAAUGAGACGAAGAGCCAAAGAAAUCUUCAUUUAACAGGAAGUCAGAGUCCUAAAAUACGCCUUACUGUCGUGGACGGAAAGAGCAAAAAGCCAAACAGGAGAAGCAGCCGACCUGAAGAAGAGGAAGCGAGGAGGAGGAGGAGGAGGAGAUGACGAGCGUGGAGCGGUAGAAGCAGAUGAAAAUGGUGCCAAGAAGAAGAGAUCUUUGGAUCCCUCCGCCAAGCUUUCAGCGUUUGCUUUUAACAAAAACUAACUUUUAGAUCCUCGACGUGUCCGUGCUGCUGAUUCUGUUCUUUGAGGCACUCCGAAGGUUUAAAGAGGCCUUCGGUUAGUGAUCAGCUGGACCGUCAUCUCUUCCAUUCGUGGUGUUUCUUCUGUGUAUUUUAAAAGUUGAAUAAAUGUAGAUGUUUGUUGGUUUACUUUACUCAAUGAUCAUUUUUGAUUUAAAAGGUAGACGUCACAGUUGUGUUCUUAUUGUGUUGUCUUCACUGUGUCCGUCCGGCUCUAAGAGACCAUCUGCUCUCCCAGAGGAGGCGGAGCUUCGGUCGGGGGAACUACUUUCAGCGGCGGAUGAAUAUUACGUGUUUCCCAAACUUCUUUUCUGGGGAUCCACUUUGUCCCUAAAAAAAUAAACAAAUUUGUGAUUUCAUUUAGAAAAGGCUUCAACAGCUGGUUAGUGAUUUAAAGAGGUGAAACAUUUGGUCCUACAUUUCCCAUGAUGCAUCAUUUCAACCCCACACUCAUUGACUCCUCACAGGGAAGUUAAGUUCGUGAAUAAUUGUGUAAAUGUAUUGUUUUUUAAUUAGUCUUCUUUAUAAAGAUGCAACCGGCAAAAACAAUAUUU